UGAGCUAUAUAAGAGGAACGUAUGUUAUUUUGUAUGCAGAUGCUGCAUGCGUUAUUUUGAGAUCACAAAAUGAUGUUUCAGAUGAACCAUUAUGUACAGCGUGGGUUCCGGCAAACACUGUGGAACAUCUACACCUUAAAUGCCGAGACGCAUUUUUUUCUUUGUGUAAAUCAUGUCAACCACGAGUGUAUUCCUGGGAAAGAAUCACUGCUGUAAGCCACACUACGUAAAAGUGGUCGUAAUGA
rnacentral:lncRNA from 1 species